rnacentral:rRNA from 1 species
AAUCAACGCUGGCGGCGUGCCUCAGACAUGCAAGUCGAACGCGAAAGUUUCCUUCGGGAGAUGAGUAGAGUGGCGCACGGGUGAGUAACACGUGAGUAAUUUACCUUCGGGUGGGGAAGUACUAACCGGAAACGGUUGUUAAUACCGCAUAAUGCAGCGGCAUCAAUGAUGACAGUUGUUAAAGCGGGGGAUUGGAGCAAUCCGACCUCGCGCCUGAAGAGAAGCUCGCGGCAGAUUAGCUAGUUGGUAAGGUAAUGGCUUACCAAGGCGACGAUCUGUAACCGGCCUGAGAGGGCGGGUCGGUCACACUGACACUGAAUAACGGGUCAGACUCCUACGGGAGGCAGCAGUCGGGAAUUUUGGGCAAUGGGCGCAAGCCUGACCCAGCAACGCCGCG